AAAUUUGCGCAGUGGCAGUAUCGUAGCCAAUGAGGUUUAUCCGAGGCGCGAUUAUUGCUAAUUGAAAUUGAUUUCUUUUUCUACCAAAUGGGUAUAUUAAUUCCCACCUCUUAAUUUAUUGUGAAACUAUAUAAGAU